AUUGAACGCUGGCGGCAGGCCUAACACAUGCAAGUCGAGCGGCAGCGGGAAAGUAGCUUGCUACUUUUGCCGGCGAGCGGCGGACGGGUGAGUAAUGCCUGGGAAAUUGCCCAGUCGAGGGGGAUAACAGUUGGAAACGACUGCUAAUACCGCAUACGCCCUACGGGGGAAAGCAGGGGACCUUCGGGCCUUGCGCGAUUGGAUAUGCCCAGGUGGGAUUAGCUAGUUGGUGAGGUAAUGGCUCACCAAGGCGACGAUCCCUAGCUGGUCUGAGAGGAUGAUCAGCCACACUGGAACUGAGACACGGUCCAGACUCCUACGGGAGGCAGCAGUGGGGAAUAUUGCACAAUGGGGGAAACCCUGAUGCAGCCAUGCCGCGUGUGAAGAAGGCCUUCAGGUUGUAAAGCACUUUCAGCGAGGAGGAAAGGUCAGUAGCUAAUAUCUGCUGACUGUGACGUUACUCGCAGAAGAAGCACCGGCUAACUCCGUGCCAGCCGCCGCGGUAAAAC
rnacentral:rRNA from 1 species